rnacentral:rRNA from 1 species
CACUGCCGAGAAAAGCCUCUAGCUAGAAUAACGGUGCCCGUACCGCAAACCGACACAGGUAGUCAAGAUGAGAAUUCUAAGGUGAGCGAGCGAACUCUCGUUAAGGAACUCGGCAAAAUGACCCCGUAACUUCGGGAGAAGGGGUGCUCUUUGAGGUUCACGCUUCGAAGAGCCGCAGUGAAUAGGCCCAAGCGACUGUUUAUCAAAAACACAGGUCUCUGCUAAACCGUAAGGUGACGUAUAGGGGCUGACGCCUGCCCGGUGCUGGAAGGUUAAGAGGAGUGGUUAGCGCAAGCGAAGCUACGAAUCGAAGCCCCAGUAAACGGCGGCCGUAACUAUAACGGUCCUAAGGUAGCGAAAUUCCUUGUCGGGUAAGUUCCGACCCGCACGAAAGGCGUAACGAUUUGGGCACUGUCUCAACGAGAGACUCGGUGAAAUCAUAGUACCGGUGAAGAUGCCGGUUACCCGCGACAGGACGGAAAGACCCCGUGGAGCUUUACUGUAGCCUGAUAUUGAAAUUCGGUACAGUUUGUACAGGAUAGGUAGGAGCCUUAGAAGCGUGAGCGCUAGCUUACGUGGAGGCAUUGGUGGGAUACUACCCUAAUUGUAUUGGAUUUCUAACCCGCAGCACUUAUCGUGCUGGGAGACAGUGUCAGGCGGGCAGUUUGACUGGGGCGGUCGCCUCCUAAAGAGUAACGGAGGCGCUCAAAGGUUCCCUCAGAAUGGUUGGAAAUCAUUCAUAGAGUGUAAAGGCAUAAGGGAGCUUGA